AUGUUGGGGAACUUGGGUGGGCAACUAAUAAAGAAGGCGUACUAUGACCCAGACACCUGCCGAGAAUUCAGGAAUCGUGCCUGGAUAAAGCUGAGUUUGCAUCAUCCCUUCAACCCGGUAGAGUUCCUCAACAACCUGCUGGCUCAGUUCACAUCUCAUCAUCACCACCGCCACCAUGACGAUAUGUCUGAGCUCAUGCUGCAAGUAAGCAAGCAUAAGUAUCUCAUCAUCAUGGAGCAAGAACUAUCCAGUGUUGCAGAGUGGAAUGCCAUUAGAAUGUGCCUUGCAGACAACAAAAAUGGCAGCCGGAUCGUCAUCUUCACCAAGCAGUUGGGACUUGCCCUUCUCUGCACAGGAGAACCCUACCAAAUAUCUGAGCUUAAGUGCUUCUCUCAUGGUGGAUAUAUUUGUGCUAUUUUCCCUGAGGGUUGUGGGUAUCGCAGCGGCAUGGGUGAUUUCAUCUGGCAAUUAAGACGACACUGUGGUGUUAUAUCCUUGUUCUGUGAGGAUGAUUUUGAUGAAACACACUUCAGGAGAGAAUUGUAUGACAAAUUGAGAUUACUCGACAAGUCAAGCAUCCUCGACGAAGUCAAUUUUGAAUACCAGUACUUUCGUCUUUCCGAACAUCCGGAUGGUGGCUUGGCCUUUUUGGCUGUGCGAAUACUUUUGGAAUCUUACCGUGAAGAUGAACAUGAAGAUGCACAGGAAAAGCUCAUGGCGCUGGAUCAUCAUGAUUUAUUUGAAAGGUGCCGUGAGUUUCUGAAUGAACACGAUUACCUCAUUUUCAUUGAGGGCGUGGAGUCCCCAGAGCACUGGGACUUGAUAAAACAACACCUCUUAUGUGAGUCUACUAGAGCUUGUAUCGUUGUUCUUACAGGAGUUGUGAUCAACAGGAGCAUCCGGAACAAGUUAAAUCCGAGCAGCUUGUUGGGCGUGACGAUGAAGCUAAAUUCCUUGGAAACAGAAUGA
rnacentral:rRNA from 1 species